GAACAGUACAUAACUAACAUUCAAAUUAGGUGGAGCCGUUGGGCUCUUAGCAAGUUGUCAGUGUGGUUCCAAGUCACAAUGUUUGGGCACCCUUAAGAAAGAUAAUGGAGAACACUUUUGCCAAGAGGUCAAGAACCAGUUACCAAGAGGAAUCAGAAGAGAAUAUCUUCCUUCUCUUCCCCUACUACUGCAUCACACAAUGAGUUUGGUGCAUUAUGUAUGUGAGGAAGGGUGUUUGGUUUUCUUGAGAAGAUCAGAUAUUGGACAACCAGAGACAGGACACACAACUUGGACACUUGGUCUGAUCUGAUAUGGUGAAUCUUAAGAUAGAAAUCUGAAGUGGGAAAAUAUUUGUUUCUAGAGGUUCUCUCUCCUAAAAGGAAAUAAGUUCCUUCACAGGCAUGAAAAACUAAUUAACACAGAAAUCUCAUAACCAUUCUCACCUAAAACAUACUUUUAAAGUAGAUGGCAAUGAUUUUAUUGUAUUUUUGUAUUGCCACUUUGUAUGGUAACGUGGUUUGUUUGGUAAUGAAAUAAGCAGCCUAUUAUUGAACAGAAGUAUUUUACCACAGGUUUUGUGUAUUAAAAUGUUUGAAUUACA